GAGUUUGAUCAUGGCUCAGAUUGAACGCUGGCGGCAUGCCUUACACAUGCAAGUCGAACGGGCAGCACGGGAGCUUGCUCCUGGUGGCGAGUGGCGAACGGGUGAGUAAUGCAUCGGAACGUAUCCUGGAGUGGGGGAUAACGUAGCGAAAGUUACGCUAAUACCGCAUAUUCUGUGAGCAGGAAAGCGGGGGACCUUCGGGCCUCGCGCUCUUGGAGCGGCCGAUGUCGGAUUAGCUAGUUGGUGAGGUAAAGGCUCACCAAGGCGACGAUCCGUAGCAGGUCUGAGAGGAUGAUCUGCCACACUGGAACUGAGACACGGUCCAGACUCCUACGGGAGGCAGCAGUGGGGAAUUUUGGACAAUGGGGGCAACCCUGAUCCAGCCAUGCCGCGUGAGUGAAGAAGGCCUC
rnacentral:rRNA from 1 species